UGGGGAAUAUUGCACAAUGGGGGAAACCCUGAUGCAGCAACGCCGCGUGAGUGAUGAAGGUCUUCGGAUUGUAAAGCUCUGUCUUUAGGGACGAUAAUGACGGUACCUAAGGAGGAAGCCACGGCUAACUACGUGCCAGCAGCCGCGGUAAUACGUAGGUGGCAAGCGUUAUCCGGAUUUACUGGGCGUAAAGGGAGCGUAGGCGGAUACUUAAGUGGGAUGUGAAAUACCUGGGCUUAACCUGGGAGCUGCAUUCCAAACUGGGUAUCUAGAGUGCAGGAGAGGAGAAUGGAAUUCCUAGUGUAGCGGUGAAAUGCGUAGAGAUUAGGAAGAACACCAGUGGCGAAGGCGAUUCUCUGGACUGUAACUGACGCUGAGGCUCGAAAGCGUGGGGAGCAAACA
rnacentral:rRNA from 1 species